rnacentral:ribozyme from 12 species
AGAAAGCUUGGAAAUCUUGUGCACAAAUUUCUUUUUCUUUUUCUGUUUUUUAUUCUUCUUUGACUUUAAGCCACUCUCCUUUUGCUUUUUCACAA